CUACGGGUGGCUGCAGUGGGGAAUAUUGCACAAUGGGGGAAACCCUGAUGCAGCGACGCCGCGUGCGGGAAGAAGGCCUUCGGGUUGUAAACCGCUUUCAAUUGGGAAGAAGAGAUGAGAGUUAAUAGCUCUCUGAUUUGACGGUACCUUUAGAAGAAGCACCGGCUAAUUUCGUGCCAGCAGCCGCGGUAAUACGAAAGGUGCAAGCGUUGUUCGGAUUUACUGGGCGUAAAGAGAUCGUAGGUGGUUUGUUAAGUCGGAUGUGAAAUCCCGGGGCUCAACCUCGGAACUGCAUUCGAUACUGGCAGACUAGAGUUCGGGAGGGGUAAGCGGAAUUCCGUGUGUAGCAGUGAAAUGCGUAGAUAUACGGAGGAACACCUGAGGCGAAGGCGGCUUACUGGACCGAUACUGACACUGAGGAUCGAAAGCGUGGGUAGCAAACAGGAUUAGAUACCCCAGUAGUC
rnacentral:rRNA from 1 species